UCGAUUGUGAAUGCGCCCAGUGCUUAGAACUCGUUUCCCAUAUCAACAGUGAGGUUGGAAGUUUUAGCAAAGAGCAUAGUAACGUUUGUUGCCAUAUCGUUUCAAGAAUUCUUCAAGACAAAGCAAACCUUGGCCUACGAUACACCAUCCAGAAGCAGCACUAACCAUGAACAGCGUUACAGUAUUGUGUUUAAUUGCAGUAGCGAUCAGUGUGGCGUACGGAAGUGACGCCCCCUGCAAUGCCACUGGAGGUGUUUGCCAAUACGUCCAUCUGCCCUGUCGCGGUCGGUAUAUAAGUGGACUUUGCUCUGGAGGCACUCGUCAACGUUGCUGUUUGACAACUUCAUCUGACACUGGUACAUUCAGCUUUGGAAAGGACAUUUAAAUACAGUACAACGCAGUGAUAGCGAACACGCUUACAGCGAAGUGAUUGUCAUAUCCUAAAACAUAUCACUUUGUUAAACACCGUUCUGAUUCCACACUCUGAAGUACUCUGAAGUUGAAAUAAAAAAUAUAUGCUAGAGUU